rnacentral:rRNA from 1 species
CUGACCUACGGGGCGCAGCAGUGGGGAAUAUUGGGCAAUGGGCGCAAGCCUGACCCAGCAACGCCGCGUGAAGGAAGAAGGCUUUCGGGUUGUAAACUUCUUUUGACAGGGAAGAGUAGAAGACGGUACCUGUCGAAUAAGCCACGGCUAACUACGUGCCAGCAGCCGCGGUAAUACGUAGGUGGCAAGCGUUGUCCGGAAUGACUGGGCGUAAAGGGUGCGUAGGUGGUUUGACAAGUUAGUAGCGCAACUCCGGAGCUUAACUUCGGAACUACUACUAAAACUGUUGGACUUGAGUGCAGGAG